rnacentral:piRNA from 1 species
GAGACUGAUUUGAAGGUGGGUCCACUCUUU